GGGCCCGUAGCUCAGCUAGGUAGAGCGGCGGGCUUUUAACCCGUAGACCCCAAAAGGGCGGAAGUCCCGGGUUCAAAUCCCGGCGGGCCCGCCA
rnacentral:tRNA from 1 species